rnacentral:rRNA from 1 species
UACGUAGGGUGCGAGCGUUAAUCGGAAUUACUGGGCGUAAAGCGUGCGCAGGCGGUUCGCUAAGACCGAUGUGAAAUCCCCGGGCUUAACCUGGGAACUGCAUUGGUGACUGGCGGGCUAGAGUAUGGCAGAGGGGGGUAGAGUUCCACGUGUAGCAGUGAAAUGCGUAGAGAUGUGGAGGAAUACCGAUGGCGAAGGCAGCCCCCUGGGCCAAUACUGACGCUCAUGCACGAAAGCGUGGGGAGCAAACAGG